rnacentral:rRNA from 1 species
CCUACGGGAGGCAGCAGUGGGGAAUUUUCCGCAAUGGACGAAAGUCUGACGGAGCGACGCUGCGUGAAGGAUGAAGGCCCGUGGGUUGUAAACUUCUUUUCUCGAAGAAGAAAAAAAUGACGGUAUUCGAGGAAUAAGCAUCGGCUAACUCUGUGCCAGCAGCCGCGGUAAUA